GCUGCUGGCAGCUCCGGCUACUGGCCCGGCGCUCUGGCGUGGCUCGGGCUCCAGAGGACAGGACUGAGCGACUGGCCGGCGGAGCCCUGGGCGGGCCGCAGAGGCAGGGCCCGGGAUGGCACUCUCAGUGACAGGGCUCAUAGUCUUCUCCCUCCUGCAAGCCGUCCUCUCUUUGAACCCCGAGGACCCCAACGUGUGCAGCCACUGGGAGAGCUAUGCCGUGACUGUCCAAGAAUCAUACGCACACCCCUUCGACCAGAUCUACUACACACGAUGCACAGACAUCCUCAACUGGUUCAAGUGCACCAGGCACCGGAUCAGCUAUAAGACAGCAUAUCGGCGUGGCCUCCGGACCAUGUACCGGCGGAGGUCCCAGUGCUGCCCUGGUUACUACGAGAACGGAGACUUCUGCAUACCCCUGUGUACGGAGGAGUGUGUGCAUGGCCGCUGCGUCUCCCCGGACACCUGCCACUGCGAGCCCGGCUGGGGAGGGCCCGACUGCUCCAGUGGCUGCGACAGUGACCACUGGGGACCCCAUUGCAGCAACCGGUGCCAGUGCCAGAACGGUGCCCUGUGCAACCCCAUCACCGGCGCCUGCGUGUGUGCUGCUGGCUUCCGAGGCUGGCGCUGCGAAGAGCUCUGUGCUCCCGGCACCCACGGCAAGGGCUGCCAGCUACCGUGCCAGUGCCACCACGGUGCCAGCUGCGACCCCCGCACUGGCGAGUGCCUCUGUGCACCCGGCUACACCGGUGUCUACUGCGAGGAGCUGUGCCCGCCUGGGAGCCAUGGGGCUCACUGUGAGCUGCGCUGUCCCUGCCAGAACGGGGGCACCUGUCACCACAUCACUGGCGAGUGUGCCUGCCCCCCAGGCUGGACGGGAGCAGUGUGUGCCCAGCCCUGCCCACCAGGGACAUUUGGUCAGAACUGCAGCCAGGACUGUCCUUGCCACCACGGAGGGCAGUGUGACCACGUGACUGGGCAGUGUCAUUGCACAGCAGGAUACAUGGGGGACAGGUGCCAAGAGGAAUGCCCCUUCGGGACCUUCGGCUUCCAGUGCUCUCAGCGCUGUGACUGCCACAAUGGGGGCCAGUGUUCGCCCACCACCGGUGCCUGCCAGUGUGAGCCUGGCUACCAAGGCCCUCGCUGCCAGGAGCGGCUGUGCCCCGAGGGCCUGCACGGCCCGGGCUGCUCCUUGCCCUGCCCCUGCGACGCCGACAACACCAUCAGCUGCCACCCGGUAACCGGAGCUUGCACCUGCCAGCCGGGCUGGUCUGGCCACCAUUGCAACGAGUCCUGCCCUGCCGGCUACUAUGGCGAUGGCUGCCAGAUGCCUUGCACCUGCCAGAACGGCGCCGACUGCCACAGUGUCACUGGAAGCUGCACUUGUGCCCCAGGCUUCAUGGGGGAGGUCUGUGCAGUUCCCUGUGCAGCGGGGACCUACGGCCCCAACUGUUCAUCCGUCUGUAGCUGUAACAACGGCGGUACCUGCUCCCCAGUGGAUGGCUCCUGCACCUGCAAGGAAGGGUGGCAGGGUCUCGACUGCACCCUGCCAUGUCCCAGUGGGACGUGGGGCCUCAACUGCAAUGCCAGCUGCACCUGUGCCAAUGGGGCAGCCUGCAGCCCCGCGGACGGCUCCUGCUCCUGCACCCCCGGCUGGCUGGGAGACACCUGCGAGCUGCCCUGCCCGGAUGGCACGUUUGGGCCGAACUGCAGCGAGCGCUGUGACUGCAGCCAUGCCGACGGCUGCCACCCCGUCACAGGCCACUGCUGCUGCCUAGCCGGGUGGACAGGUGUCCGCUGUGACAGCACGUGUCCACCGGGUCGCUGGGGCCCCAACUGCUCAGUCUCCUGCAACUGUGAGAAUGGUGGCUCCUGCUCCCCGGAGGAUGGGAGCUGCGAGUGUGCCCCUGGCUUCCGAGGACCCUUAUGCCAGAGAAUCUGCCCCCCGGGGUUCUACGGCCACGGCUGCGCCCAGCCGUGCCCCCUCUGCGUGCACAGCAGCGGGCCCUGCCACCACGUCAGCGGCACCUGUGAGUGCCUCCCCGGCUUCUCUGGAGCUCUCUGCAACCAAGUGUGUGCUGGAGGGCACUUUGGGCAGGACUGUGCCCAGCUCUGUUCCUGUGCCAACAAUGGGACCUGCAGCCCCAUCGAUGGCUCCUGCCAGUGCUUCCCUGGAUGGAUUGGCAAGGACUGCUCACAGGCUUGCCCACCUGGGUUCUGGGGCCCUGCCUGCUUCCACACAUGCAGCUGCCACAACGGGGCGCGCUGCAGUGCCGAGGACGGGGCCUGCCACUGCACCCCUGGCUGGACUGGACUCUUCUGCACGCAGCGCUGCCCAGCAGCAUUUUAUGGGAAGGACUGCGGGCGUGUGUGCCAGUGUCAGAACGGAGCCAGCUGUGACCACAUCAGCGGCAAGUGCACCUGCCGCACAGGCUUCACCGGGCAACACUGCGAGCAGAGAUGCGCCCCGGGAACCUUUGGCUACGGGUGUCAGCAGCUAUGUGAGUGCAUGAACAAUGCCACCUGUGACCACGUCACUGGCACUUGUUACUGCAGCUCUGGAUUCAAAGGAAUCAGGUGUGACCAAGCUGCCCUCAUGAUGGAGGAGCUGAAUCCUUACACCAAGAUCAGCCCGGCACUGGGUGCGGAGCGGCACUCGGUGGGCGCCGUCACAGGCAUCAUCCUCCUGCUGUUCCUCCUCGUGGUGCUGCUGGGCCUGUUCGCCUGGCGCCGGCGCCGGCAGAAAGAGAAAGGCCGAGACCUGGCUCCCCGAGUCUCCUACACGCCGGCCAUGAGGAUGACCAGCACUGACUACUCCCUCUCAGAUUUGUCUCAAAGUAGCAGCUAUGCCCAGUGCUUUUCCAAUUCCAGCUACCACGCACUGGCGUGCGGGGGGCCUGCCACCAGCCAGGCCAGCACUCUGGACAGGAACAGCCCCACCAAGGAGCUUGUGGAAUGGAUAGACGUCAAAACACAUACAUUAUGGACAAAGGCUUCAAAGAUUACAUGAAAGAGUCUGUGUGCAGUUCUAGCACUUGUUCCUUGAAUAGCAGUGAAAACCCUUACGCCACAAUUAAGGACCCACCCGUCCUCACCUGCAAGCUUCCAGAAAACAGCUAUGUAGAAAUGAAGUCGCCUGUGCACAGGGGGUCUCCGUACACAGAUGUGCCAUCCUUGUCGACAUCUAAUAAAAAUAUAUAUGAAGUUGGUAAACUGGGGCUCAGAUGAGUCAAAAUGGAGCCAACUCCCAAGCCCUAAAGAGGACCUUCUCACAAGAAUUAAAGACGAAAGGGCAAAGUGAGAACACUGAUGGCCAUCCCUAUACCACUGUAUUCUCUGACAACAAUUCAGCUAGUAAAAAUACUUCCAAAAGGUAUACAAAAAAAGAACUACAUGACUGCAAAGCUGGAGUAACUGCUACAGGAAGUGUGGGAGUUCUGAAACCCUUGAUACAAAUUGGAAGUCUGCCAUGGAACCCAUUAGUUUGGGAAAUAACCAGCAAAAGGGAGAAAAAUGAUGAGUAAACGCCCCCCUCCCCACCUGACUCAAGGCUUAAGCAAAUGUUGUUAGGGGAAAAUAUCUAAUACUUAACAUGAAUGCUGCAUGUGUGCAUGGGAGCAAGUGAUCAGCAAUAGCAAAUUUACUUUCCAAAAAUGCCUUAUUAAAUAUAAAUACUAGAAAAGUACUUUGUAGACCGAAGUAAAUAUUUCUCACAUAUAUGUAGAAAGAAGUAUAGAUAAGAGACUUACCUCAGUAUUUCAAGGCAGCAAGUACUCAAUUAUCUUCGUGAAGCAAGGACUGAGAAUCAUGGUGAAGUCAGAUCAGCAAGGAGAAACGCCAUCUCAAUCGCAGGUUUUAUCUUCUUCCCUCCCCCUGCAUGUAAGUAACUGCUGCCUGGCACGCUGCAAACAAGCACCAUCACCCACCCAAGUUUCAAGUUUCACCUCUCUUUUGCCAACUAUCUUCUGCGCAAAUUUCAGCAAGAGGUGGCAUGGUGGAAUUGCUAAAGCACUGGGUCAAGAGAUUUGAAUGUUACUUGCCCUCUUGGGGCUCUUUUUACACCUGUAUGUUAAAAAAAUGGAGUAGCAAAGAGGGGGGUAAGGGAACCCUAAAACCCUUCAGCUCUAGCAUUCUCAUUUUUAAAGAAAUGUACUGGAAAUUAAAUCAGGCAAUACAGGAACAGGGAAAGACAGAGGGUGUGAUUAAUCGAUGGUGACAACUGUUGUCUUCACAUUAUCUAAGAGUUACUAGUAAAAGACAUUUCAAUCUUACAGAGCAACCAUUAGGAACUUCUGUCUAGCACUGCCGCAAAUAAGUUCAUGGUCGGCCUAAAUGCACUGUGCAUUGUAUUGACAGCUUGGAAAGAUCUGUUCAGUUAGUUUACAGAAACUAAGUUUUCACUCAAAGUGAUCUGCAUAUAAUUCAAAUGAAUGAAGAAAAUACAAUUAUUGUGUAAUAGCAUAAGUGAGACUAUGAAAUGGCAAUACUUUUUUAAACAACCCAGAUUUAUAUUUGUUCACUGUGCA